rnacentral:rRNA from 1 species
UGGGCAAUCUGCCCUUCACUCUGGGACAAGCCCUGGAAACGGGGUCUAAUACCGGAUAACACUCUGUCCUGCAUGGGACGGGGUUAAAAGCUCCGGCGGUGAAGGAUGAGCCCGCGGCCUAUCAGCUUGUUGGUGGGGUAAUGGCCUACCAAGGCGACGACGGGUAGCCGGCCUGAGAGGGUGACCGGCCACACUGGGACUGAGACAUGGCCCAGACUCCUACGGGAGGCAG